rnacentral:rRNA from 1 species
CCCCUUAGUGCUGCAGCUAACGCAUUAAGCACUCCGCCUGGGGAGUACGGUCGCAAGACUGAAACUCAAAGGAAUUGACGGGGGCCCGCACAAGCGGUGGAGCAUGUGGUUUAAUUCGAAGCAACGCGAAGAACCUUACCAGGUCUUGACAUCCCGCCGACCGCCUAGGAGACUAGGCCUUCCCUUCGGGGACGGCGGUGACAGGUGGUGCAUGGUUGUCGUCAGCUCGUGUCGUGAGAUGUUGGGUUAAGUCCCGCAACGAGCGCAACCCUUGAUCUUAGUUGCCAGCAUUCAGUUGGGCACUCUAAGGUGACUGCCGGUGACAAACCGGAGGAAGGUGGGGAUGACGUCAAAUCAUCAUGCCCCUUAUGACCUGGGCUACACACGUGCUACAAUGGAUGGUACAAAGGGCUGCGAACCCGCGAGGGGGAGCCAAUCCCAUAAAACCAUUCUCAGUUCGGAUUGUAGGCUGCAACUCGCCUACAUGAAGCUGGAAUCGCUAGUAAUCGUGGAUCAGCAUGCCACGGUGAAUACGUUCCCGGGCCUUGUACACACCGCCCGUCACACCACGAGAGUUUGUAACACCCGAAGUCGGUGGGGUAACCUUUAUGGAGCCAGCCGCCGAAGGUGGGACAGAUGAUUGGGGUGAAGUCGUAACAAGGUAGCCGUAAGCUUGGAUCCCGGG